UUGAUAUAUAGUACCUAUAUCGCAAGUAAAAAAAGAAAAAAAACUUUUCCCAUUUCAAAUCGGAGGAACUAGCGUAUAUGUAUAUGCCUGUUCAUACAUGGGUAUAUCUAUAUAAUAUGCAUGUAUGCGCCCUGCAAACCAAACCUCAGUAGUUUAGGGGAAAAUACAACCACCAACAAAGCUUAUUUUGAGGAUGUAUGUGUUACUUACUUACCAAAAUCUCUCCCCUCCAAAAAUAGAAGUUUUGUUUCUCCUGAAAAAAUAAACUCUUCUUUGAUAAAUGGGAGGAAAAGAGCGCGAUGUAUGCAAUGCACAAAGUUUUGUCUCUUUUGUAAUUGCGGCUCGCGUUUGAUUUGACUUUUCCUACAUUUUAUAUUUUCUAGUGAAACCAGUAAAACCUUGAUAGCCACAGCCACAGCAACAUCAAAAAAAUUUUUCGCUGCUCCAUUUGAAGAAUAAAAAUAAAAACAAUUUAAUUUAAAAAAUAUAUAAUCUUCUCAGUGUUGAGUGUUAUUUGUGAAAACUAUUUUCUCUAAACAAUAUCUACCACACAAAUUCUUCGGCACGCCACAUUUAUUUAUAUCCACCAUCAAAAUGCACAGCCUCAGCCUUGUGCAUUUAGAAAAAAAAGUAAUACAAAAAUGAUACAAAAACAACCACCAAUUGAUUUGAAAAAUAAAGUGGCGAUCAAUUCCAGACAUCAUUGACUGAGUUUACAGCAGCUUCAGCCUUGAGCAUUUAGAAAAAAAAAAAAUCAAAACAAGAUACAAAAACUACCACCAAAGUGCAGACUGCAGAG